CUGGACCAUUGAAGAUGACAACUUCAUAUGUCUGGGAAGAAACACCUGGCCCCAGUGUGUGGGAAUCCAUCCAAGGUGUCUGUGCGGUCUCCUUUGCCUCCCUGGCUUCACUGCUGACUGAAUUAGAGGUUCCGAAUGAGCCUAGCUAUUGGUUCCCUGUGAUUACUUGGUCUGUCUUCUACCUUGUGUUCCGUGGGAGAGAAGCCAUGAAUAUGCUGCCCACCACUGAAUUCCUAGGGUCUGAAUUGCUGUGUGGCACGUGGUAA
rnacentral:lncRNA from 1 species